rnacentral:rRNA from 1 species
UGGCGGCAGGCCUAACACAUGCAAGUCGAGCGGCAGCGCGUCCGACCACCCUCGGGUGGUCGGAUGGCGGCGAGCGGCGGACGGGUGAGGAAUGCAUCGGAAUCUGCCUCGUUGUGGGGGAUAACGUAGGGAAACUUACGCUAAUACCGCAUACGACCUACGGGUGAAAGUGGGGGACCUUCGGGCCUCACGCGAUGAGAUGAGCCGAUGCCGGAUUAGCUAGUUGGCGGGGUAAAGGCCCACCAAGGCGACGAUCCGUAGCUGGUCUGAGAGGAUGAUCAGCCACACUGGAACUGAGACACGGUCCAGACUCCUACGGGAGGCAGCAGUGGGGAAUAUUGGACAAUGGGGGCAACCCUGAUCCAGCCAUGCCGCGUGUGUGAAGAAGGCCUUCGGGUUGUAAAGCACUUUUGUUGGGGAAGAAACCGGCCGGGUUAAUACCCUGGUUGAAUGACGGUACCCAAAGAAUAAGCACCGGCUAACUUCGUGCCAGCAGCCGCGGUAAUACGAAGGGUGCAAGCGUUACUCGGAAUUACUGGGCGUAAAGCGUGCGUAGGCGG